UACGUAGGGACCAAGCGUUGUUCGGAUUUACUGGGCGUAAAGGGCGCGUAGGCGGCUUGUCAAGUCACUUGUGAAAUCUCUGGGCUUAACCCAGAACGGCCAAGUGAAACUGACAUGCUAGAGUGCAGAAGGGGCAAUCGGAAUUCUUGGUGUAGCGGUGAAAUGCGUAGAUAUCAAGAGGAACACCUGCGGCGAAGGCGGGUCUCUGGGCCGUAACUGACGCUGAGGAGCGAAAGCAUGGGGAGCGAACAGG
rnacentral:rRNA from 1 species